rnacentral:misc_RNA from 1 species
GAUGAAGAACGUAGCGAAAUGCGAUAAGUAAUGCGAAUUGCAGAAUUCCAGUGAGUCAUCGAAUCUUUGAACGCACAUUGCGCCCUUUGGUAUUCCGAAGGGCAUGCCUGUUCGAGCGUCAUUAUCACCCCUCAAGCCCUCGGCUUGGUGUUGCACGGUUUGGUGGAGGCCCCCUCGGGGGCUCCUGCCCCUCCCAAAGACAAUGACGGCGGCCUCGUUGGACCCCCGGUACACUGAGUUCUUCACGGGACACGUAUCGGACACAUGGGUUUACGGGACACGGUCUGCCUCCCCUCAGGGAGAAUCUUUCUAAGGUUGACCUCGGAUCAGGUAGGGAUACCCGCUGAACUUAAGCAUAUCAAUAAGCGGAGGA